rfam:Ipomoea nil DNA, scaffold: scaffold3056, cultivar: Tokyo-kokei standard.
CUGACCUUAGCUCAGUUGGUAGAGUGGUGGACUUUUGUUGGACUAAUCUAAAUUGGAAAUCCUUAGGUCGCUAGUUCGAAUCCGGCAGGUCGGA